rnacentral:rRNA from 1 species
GAUGAACGCUGGCGGCGUGCCUAAUACAUGCAAGUCGAGCGAACAGACGAGGAGCUUGCUCCUUCGACGUUAGCGGCGGACGGGUGAGUAACACGUAGGUAACCUACCUAUAAGACUGGGAUAACUUCGGGAAACCGGAGCUAAUACCGGAUAAUAUUUCGAACCGCAUGGUUCGAUAGUUAAAGAUGGCUUUGCUAUCACUUAUAGAUGGACCUGCGCCGUAUUAGCUAGUUGGUAAGGUAACGGCUUACCAAGGCAACGAUACGUAGCCGACCUGAGAGGGUGAUCGGCCACACUGGAACUGAGACACGGUCCAGACUCCUACGGGAGGCAGCAGUAGGGAAUCUUCCGCAAUGGGCGAAAGCCUGACGGAGCAACGCCGCGUGAGUGAUGAAGGUCUUCGGAUCGUAAAACUCUGUUAUUAGGGAAGAACAAACGUGUAAGUAACUGUGCACGUCUUGACGGUACCUAAUCAGAAAGCCACGGCUAACUACGUG